AUUGUCAUGACUUCUGAGCUGUUUGAAAGAGAAUGUUCUCAGAAUCAAGCCAUUUGGAAUGGACAGAAUGAAACAGAAGUCAAAGAGCUGUCUACACGUCCUUCCCAAGCUAUAAUUAAGAUGGAAGCUCAUUUGCCAUUCUGAGGAUUGGUGCAAUCAAGCAUAUGACAGCAAGAUUUUGGAACAUUUUUAUCAGUUUUGGAACCACAGCUCCUCCAUGGCCAAAUUUCUCUUUAUGUCUCAGGUUUCAGAGCAUGGCCUAAUAUUUCCCGUACAGACAGGCCGCUCCGCUGCCCUUCUGAUUCAGCUGACCACUGUGCACUGUAGCGACGUGCAAGGGGUAGGAGUGGACACAUUCCAGCUCGCUGGGGUUUGGAACGGCACCUCUCAUUCCCAGAGAAGGGAUUCUCUGUGGAGGCUGAGUUGGCAGUGCUCAAGCUUGCCUUGCGGUUGGCACGUAGGCCAUCAGCAAUCAUCUGAGUAUCAACCUGCCAAGCUGAGGCCGUCCUGGGGCACAGAGAUUUAUUGCUAACAGAGGAAAGAAAAGAAACCAUUUCCUUAAUUCUGCUUUGCAGGCCACUCUCAUGGAAAGGAACUCCCCUGCUGCCCUGAUCAGUUCAAUAUCUAACUCAUCAUGCCUGUGUUCUUCCCCAGCAGCUCAGGCCGGUCUGCUACCAGGAACAGGUGCCAAAUCAGAGUGUGGAAUUUUCCCAGCAGGCCCCAGGGUGUGUUGCUGCCAAGGCAACUGUGGUAGGGUUGGGGAAUAACUAGCGAACCACAAAUCCAGAAAAGGAAGAGGAGGCCUCCUUUUCGGCUUGGGCCAACUCAGAUGUGCCAGUAAAUAUGAAUUGGUUGGAUUUGACUUCUCAAUGAUACACAAUGAUUCUCUACCUGGACUAACACCACAGAGGAUGCCAUAGAAACUUCUGAGAUUUCGAUGAUAAAUAUAAAAAGUUGAAGCUUUGGGGAGCCCAAGCCAGGAAGCUGGAGAAGUCCUCAUCUCCUGAAGCUGCAAGAAGAGACAGAGCCCAGCCUGAUAAUCUGAGGACUGAACUUCAAAGGUCACCCAGCCAAAAUAAUCUACUCUGCCUGCCCAAGUGUGAAGCCUAGUGUGAAACCUACUCCAGAGGUGAAACCCCACCAAGAGAUGAAAACCACUUUGGGAAAUACCUUAUGUCUGAUAUUUUCUUCUUCAUUUUUUGAUAGGACUUUUUUUUUCCUGCUCAAAAGUGACUAUCUGGUAGUACAUUCCCAGAGGAUCCUGGCCAGGUAACAGAGAAGUCUGAAAGGCUACCUUGAGAUAAGGUACUAACAGCCUGUGGUAGCUUUAAUAGAAUAUUCUGGUUUAAAUAACAACCUUGAACAUCCAACUUAUUCAGAUUCAACAAACAUCUAUCGAGUAUUUACCCUCUGCAGAUAAGACAAGGCCAUGUAUUAGAUGUUUCCUCAUGUGUUAUAUCAUUUAGUGAUUACAACAAACAUCAAAGGUAGCAUCCCUACUUUACAAAGUAAAACACAGAUACUCAGAAAGGGUAAUUUAUUCACUGAAAGUCAAAGUGAGAUGAAUUCAAACAUAGGUCCUCUAACACCCAGGGCACAGACUGAUGAUGUUCAUGACCAGCUGAGUUUAUGAAAUCUCUUACGCUGUCUGUCCCUAAUCUGCCUAUACAUUAGCAAGGUGUAGAGAAGCACCAUGCUUCUGUCCAACAUAACAGGGUUAGAAGGUCACUUUUCUGCAUGUUUCUACAUUAUUUUCAAAACUGCCAUUCAUCUGCGUUUUCAAAUAAAUAUCAACAAAAUUA